GAUGAACGCUGGCGGCGUGCCUAAUACAUGCAAGUCGAGCGAACAGACGAGGAGCUUGCUCCUCUGACGUUAGCGGCGGACGGGGGAGUAACACGUGGAUAACCUACCUAUAAGACUGGGAUAACUUCGGGAAACCGGAGCUAAUACCGGAUAAUAUAUUGAACCGCAUGGUUCAAUAGUGAAAGACGGUUUUGCUGUCACUUAUAGAUGGAUCCGCGCCGCAUUAGCUAGUUGGUAAGGUAACGGCUUACCAAGGCAACGAUGCGUAGCCGACCUGAGAGGGUGAUCGGCCACACUAGAGCUGAGACACGGUCCAGACUCCUACGGGAGGCAGCAGUAGGGAAUCUUCCGCAAUGGGCGAAAGCCUGACGGAGCAACGCCGCGUGAGUGAUGAAGGUCUUCGGAUCGUAAAACUCUGUUAUUAGGGAAGAACAAAUGUGUAAGUAACUAUGCACGUCUUGACGGUACCUAAUCAGAAAGCCACGGCUAACUACGUG
rnacentral:rRNA from 1 species